AUUAAAUUCUUCUCCCUAUAUAUCUUAACACUUGAGCCUAAACUUCACAAGAGGUCAAGAGGAAAAGAAAAUGAAGACCACAAAAUACUCUCUUCUCCUAGCAGUAUUUUUUCUAGCUCUUUCAUUUGGUACAAUACUCAGUGAGGCACAAAGUUGUUACAAGCCUAUACCUCUUCCAAGUGGGAAUUGUACAACAAGUCUAUGCUUUGACAAAUGUCUUCCACAAGGGUCUUAUUCGGCUUAUAAUGCUAAAUGUUUCAAUAGCACUCUUUGUUGUUGUGGGUAAUUAAGAUUGCUUUGUUACCAUUAGUCUAUGAAUAAAAUAUGAGUUUUAUAAUGAUUAUA